rnacentral:lncRNA from 1 species
GCUGAUCCCCGCUGAGUAUGUUUGCUAUCAACGCAACCCGGUGUGUAGAGUACUGUAUUUGUUAGUAGCUGCAGUAUGAUUAAAAAAUGCAUUGUGCUUUAGACUAAUGGUGAAUAAGCAAAAAUGCUUGUCAAUUCGGAUGUAAUAUUGGUAUAUUUACCGUAAAUGGCGUAUUUGUGUUUUUUUUUUCUCCAACACAAUGUCUGGAGUCCCAGUGUUGGAUACGCUCUUCCUACUUAUGUCCUUGAGCGAGACACUGAGCCUUCACUUCCAGUGUGUUUUCCUGCUCCCUCAGGUCACACAAGGAAGCAGGGACAGAGAAUGUGGGCAUAUGAGAGAAGGAAAGGAAAUGAAGGAGAACACACGAGGAAACCGACACAAAGCCACAGUGAGAAGUAGGGAGACGAUGGGAUGCCCUCUUGCUAAACAGCCUCCAAAUAGAAUUGAACCUUGAACCCUUUGAAAGGUUGGGUGGAUGGAGAUUGCCCAAUAGAGACUUAUAAAUCUGGAUGACGAUGGCUCAUCUCAAACACCCGGCGCCACCUCCAAACUGCAUCCCACCAUCCACCUCUCCCGCCUUGAAGAAUAGGGGUGUAAAUCGGUUUGGCUUCGUGAGCCAGGAAUAGACUCAGAGGGUAUUUUAGCAGAUAUGGCUGUAAAAAUAAAUAAAAAUGGGGGGUAGGAGCUUUUGUGGGA